UUCUUUAUCUAGGACAAGUUUGGAUUAGAAACAUCUGACCAACAGCAGAAACAGUCCUAUCAGCACUGAGUGUUGGUGCUGUGCUGAGCAGCCUUGACCACGUUUUGACAGAGAGCUGUCCCAUGGCACAACUGAAAGUUUGAUGACCAUACCCUCCCCCUCUGCAUGAGGAAGGUGAGAGGGUGCUGCAAGGCAGAGCUUCCCAACCAUUAGAGAUGUCUCUGCUACAGUCACCACUUUGGCUGGUAAGCAGUGCUGCUGAAAAGAAAUCAUGACCUGAGGUUGCAACUGGUGGUUUUGCCAAAGAAGAAAGUCCAGCCAACUUCAAGGCCCACAGUGAUAUUCCAGAAGCCUGCAUGGGUCAGGUGGAGAAGAGGAACAAAGCA